GACGAACGCUGGCGGCGUGCUUAACACAUGCAAGUCGAACGGAAAGGCCCUGCUUGCAGGGUACUCGAGUGGCGAACGGGUGAGUAACACGUGGGUGAUCUGCCCUGCACUUCGUGAUAAGCCUGGGAAACUGGGUCUAAUACCGGAUAGGAGCCAUUUUUAUUGUGAUGGUUGGAAAGUUUUUUCGGUGUAGGAUGAGCUCGCGGCCUAUCAGCUUGUUGGUGGGGUAAUGGCCUACCAAGGCGGCGACGGGUAGCCGGCCUGAGAGGGUGGACGGCCAAAUUGGGACUGAGAUAAGGCCCAGACUCCUACGGGAGGCAGAGGUGGGGAAGAUUGCACAAUGGGCGCAAGCCUGAUGCAGCGACGCCGCGUGGGGGAUGACGGCCUUCGGGUUGUAAACUCAUUUCGCUAGGGACGAAGCUUUUUGUGACGGUACCUAGAUAAGAAGCACCGGCUAACUACGUG
rnacentral:rRNA from 1 species